rnacentral:lncRNA from 1 species
AACCUGAGAGGAUAGCUACUAGCUUGGGAAGGAAAUGGCAUGGUAAUGAAGAAAAAGGAUUUUGGCAUGCAAGUGUUAUGAUUUCAAAUAAAAACUGAACUCUGGGGCACAAUCCUACAUGGACUGAA